AUGGGGAGAGUGAAGCUUCAGAUCAAGAGGAUUGAGAAUACGACUAAUAUACAAGUCACUUUCUCAAAAAGAAGAAGCGGACUUAUCAAGAAAGCCUAUGAACUCUCUGUUCUCUGUGAUGUUGAUGUAGCUCUCAUCAUGUUUUCUCCAUCUGGGAGACCCAGUCUCUUUUCUGGCAAUAAAAGGUAAUCAUCUGGCUAAUUCUAUAUACAUGAUUAAUCUUGUAUAAGCUGCUCAAUAUUGGUAAAGCUGGACAAGUAUUAUUUUAUUUUACUGGUUUACUAAUAAUAAAUUAAACAAUGAUUAUUUUUCCUGUUUCUUUUGUUGUUUUGUGAAGCAUUGAAGAGAUUCUGGCACUCUAUGUUAAUCUUCCUGAGCAUGAACGGGGACGGUAA
rnacentral:lncRNA from 1 species